GACGAACGCUGGCGGCGUGCUUAACACAUGCAAGUCGAACGGAAAGGCCCUGCUUUUGUGGGGUGCUCGAGUGGCGAACGGGUGAGUAACACGUGAGUAACCUGCCCUUGACUUUGGGAUAACUUCAGGAAACUGGGGCUAAUACCGGAUAUGAGCUCCUGCUGCAUGGUGGGGGUUGGAAAGUUUCGGAGGUUGGGGAUGGACUCGCGGCUUAUCAGCUUGUUGGUGGGGUAGUGGCUUACCAAGGCAUUGACGGGUAGCCGGCCUGCGAGGGUGACCGGCCACAUCGGGACCGGGAUACGGCAGAGACUACUACGGGGGGAAGGAGUGGGGAAUAUUGCACAAUGGGCGGAAGCGUGAUGCAGCAACGCCGCGUGCGGGAUGACGGCCUUCGGGUUGUAAACCGCUUUCGCCUGUGACGAAGCGUGAGUGACGGUAAUGGGCAAAGAAGCACCGGCUAACUACGU
rnacentral:rRNA from 1 species